rnacentral:rRNA from 1 species
GACGAACGCUGGCGGCAUGCCUAAUACAUGCAAGUCGAACGAAGAUGUUCUGUGCUUUCCGGGAAUUGGAGAGUGGCGAACGGGUGAGCAACACGAAGGGAACCUGCCCAGGGGAGGGGGAUGCCAAUAGGAAACGGAUGAUAAUACCGCAUAUGGCUUUGGAACGCCUGGUCCUGCGACGCACGCCGGCUUUUACUGUCCCUCGUGGGUUUCGCUGGGCCGUGUUAGCUAGUUGGUGAGGUAACGGCCUACCAAAGCGGUGAUACGUAGCCGAUCUGAGAGGGUGAUCAGCCACACUGGAACUGAGACACGGCCCAGACUCCUACGGGAGGCAGCAGUAGGGAAUCUUCCACAAUGGGCGAAAGCCUGAUGCAGCAAUGCCGCGUGAAUGAAGAAGGUCUUCGGAUCGUAAAGUUCUUUUAUUAGAGAAGAAGAAGUCAAGGUAAAUCUGUCGUUGCUUUGACGGUACCUAACCAGAAAGCCACGGCUAACUACGUG